rnacentral:misc_RNA from 1 species
UCACACUCGGCUUAACUCAUAUUGCAGACCCAAGAGGCAAGACACUUCGCACAUGGACAUAACGGCAAGAAAAGCGCUAAAUACAUACAUCGGAAAUUCGUAUGAUUUGUAGACAUGAAUAAAAAAGGACCUUGACAUUCACAGAUAUGAGACAAAAUAACACAGAUAUGAAAAUUUUGAGGACUGAAAAGAACAAAUCUUCUGAUAACUAAGAUGAUCCGGUUUGUUCCAGUAAACACAUUAAAAAUGAAGAGUAAAGGAAAUACCAAAAUAAGAUUAAACCAUUACAAAUUUUAAUUCGCGCAUUUGACCGAGGAUGGUAAGGACACACAAGAACCAAAGAACUCUAACAACACAAACCCAGAUAUCAUACUUAGUCAAAACGAAGUAAG